CGGGACAUGCUUUUACAUCAAUGAAAGGUGGUGUACAGAUGUAACAGUGUUAAAGAAGAUGUGCUGUUCAGAUCAAGAAACACUCUUCAUUAACUGCAAGCCGUUCUAUUCACCGCAGGAGUUUCACUCGUUCAUUCUGGUUUGAAAGAACACCCCACACCUGCCCUGAACACCUCUCCACAUAACCAUUCACACCAUUCACACCUCCUGCAACACCCCUCUCCCUCACACCUGCAAUUUAGAUCAGCAAAGACGAGGUGUUCCAGGUCUUCCG
ensembl:lncRNA